AGCGCAGACGGUUUAUUAAGUCUGACUGUGAAAGCCCGGAGCUCAACUCCGGAAUGGCAUUGGAAACUGGUUAACUUGAGUGCAGUAGAGGUAAGUGGAACUCCAUGUGUAGCGGUGGAAUGCGUAGAUAUAUGGAAGAACACCAGUGGCGAAGGCGGCUUACUGGACUGCAACUGACGUUGAGGCUCGAAAGUGUGGUAGCAAACA
rnacentral:rRNA from 1 species